rnacentral:rRNA from 1 species
GAUGAACGCUAGCGGCAGGCCUAACACAUGCAAGUCGAGGGGCAGCACAGAAACAGCAAUGUUUUGGUGGCGACCGGCGGACGGGUGCGUAACGCGUAUGCAACCUACCUUUAACAGGGGGAUAACGGAGAGAAAUUUCCACUAAUACCCCAUAACAUCGAUCAAGGCAUCUUGAUUGGUUGAAAACUCCGGGGGUUAAAGAUGGGCAUGCGUUGUAUUAGGUAGUUGGUGAGGUAAUGGCUCACCAAGCCUACGAUACAUAGGGGGACUGAGAGGUUAGCCCCCCACACUGGUACUGAGACACUGGCCAGACUACUACGGGAGGCAGCAGUGAGAAAUAUUGGUAAAUGGGGGCAACCCUGACCCAGCCAUGCCGCGUGCAGGAAGACGGCUCUAUGAGUUGUAAACUGCUUUUAAACAGGGAUAAAACACAGAAUGUAUACUGUGUUGAAGGUACUGUAAGAAUAAGGAUCGGCUAACUCCGUGCCAGCCGCCGCCGUAA